CCCCUCUCAGUUUCACACUGGAGAGUUUCCAGUACUUUACCAGUCUUGGCUAUGGGAGGGAGAGUCAAGCAGAAGCCUACCCAUUCCAUUCCUAGCUUGGCCAGUGGCUAGUGAGUGGAAGGCCAUCGGCUACAAGU